CCCCUAUGACAUCAUGUGUUAAUCUCAUCUCAGGACUGCAACCCAAGAUUGCAGUGAGUGGGAAGAUACAAUUUUUACAGCAUCACCAACAAGGAUAAGGUUAUUUGGAAGUUGGGUAAUGAAGAAGAAGAUGGCAAAGAAGCCUGAAAAGGAUUAUCUAGAAAGGUAGAAAGAAAACCAGAAGAGAGUGGUGUCAGAUGCUAAGAGAGGAAAGUGUUUCGAGAGGGGAGUCAGAAGCAAACAGUGCUGCUGGGCAGUUGAGUAAGAUGAGGACAGAAAAGUGUCCACUGAAAGGUGACCUUAAUAAAAGCAAUCUCAUUAGCCAGGCAUGUGGCAGGCACCUGUAAUCCCAGGUACUUGGGAGGGUAAGGCAGGAGAAUUGCUUGAACCCAGGAGGUAGAGGUUGCAGUCAGCCACUGCACUC
rnacentral:lncRNA from 1 species